rnacentral:tRNA from 1 species
GGAGAGGUUCCCGAGUCGGCCAAAGGGGGCAGACUGUAAAUCUGCUGGUGAUACCUUCGCUGGUUCGAAUCCAGCCCUCUCCACCA